rnacentral:snRNA from 1 species
GGAUGCGAGGGUGACCUAGCUGCGACAUCUGUCACCCCAUUGAUCGCCAGAGUUGACUCAGCUGAUUUGGCUGGCCAGCAGGGUCUCCUCUCCCCCUCCUCACUCCAUGUGUAUCCCUCCUGAAGGUUCAAGCUCUGUGGAAGAGGAUGACCACCCCCUCCACAGAGGAGCACUGUUCUCUGUCAAAGAUACAGGAGUAGCUGUGCUCUCCAGCUAAAACCUCCAAACAAGCUGAAAAUACAAUUUAAAAGUACAUAAACAGGCCAGGCAUGGUGGCGCAUGCCUGUAAUCCCAGCAUGCAGGAGGCUGAGGCAG